AUUGAACGCUGGCGGCAGGCCUAACACAUGCAAGUCGAGCGGAUGAAGGGAGCUUGCUCCUGGAUUCAGCGGCGGACGGGUGAGUAAUGCCUAGGAAUCUGCCUGGUAGUGGGGGCUAACGUCCGGAAACGGGCGCUAAUACCGCAUACGUCCUGAGGGAGAAAGUGGGGGAUCUUCGGACCUCACGCUAUCAGAUGAGCCUAGGUCGGAUUAGCUAGUUGGUGGGGUAAAGGCCUACCAAGGCGACGAUCCGUAACUGGUCUGAGAGGAUGAUCAGUCACACUGGAACUGAGACACGGUCCAGACUCCUACGGGAGGCAGCAGUGGGGAAUAUUGGACGAUGGGCGAAAGCCUGAUCCAGCCAUGCCGCGUGUGUGAAGAAGGUCUUCGGAUUGUAAAGCACUUUAAGUUGGGAGGAAGGGCAGUAAGUUAAUACCUUGCUGUUUUGACGUUACCAACAGAAUAAGCACCGGCUAACUUCGUG
rnacentral:rRNA from 1 species